UUGAACGCUGGCGGCAGGCCUAAUACAUGCAAGUCGAGCGGAUGAAGGGAGCUUGCUCCUGGAUUCAGCGGCGGACGGGUGAGUAAUGCCUAGGAAUCUGCCUGGUAGUGGGGGAUAACGUCCGGAAACGGGCGCUAAUACCGCAUACGUCCUGAGUGAGAAAGUGGGGGAUCUUCGGACCUCACGCUAUCAGAUGAGCCUAGGUCGGAUUAGCUAGUUGGUGGGGUAAAGGCCUACCAAGGCGACGAUCCGUAACUGGUCUGAGAGGAUGAUCAGUCACACUGGAACUGAGACACGGUCCAGACUCCUACGGGAGGCAGCAGUGGGGAAUAUUGGACAAUGGGCGAAAGCCUGAUCCAGCCAUGCCGCGUGUGUGAAGAAGGUCUUCGGAUUGUAAAGCACUUUAAGUUGGGAGGAAGGGCAGUAAGUUAAUACCUUGCUGUUUUGACGUUACCAACAGAAUAAGCACCGGCUAACUUCGUG
rnacentral:rRNA from 1 species